UCCUGGAUAAUCCUUUGGCUGAGGGGCACUGAAAAUGUAUAAUAAAACAAUGUUUUAUUCCAAACCAAGAGGAACUCACUGCCAACUUUACAAGGAAAUGAUUAAGCAUACAAUGAGGCCAAUUACAAGGUCUUCUUCGUUAGAAGUCCUAUCAUAAGCACCUGGUCUCAGGAUCCAAUUGGAGCAGACUUUUUAAGGAUACUUUCAUCAUAUACAUCUCUAGUAAACUCAAAAGCCCUCAUUAAAGCACAUAGCUUGGGAAGCUGAAGGCUGGAUUUCAGCUCUUACUCAUCAUGUUAGCUGGAUAUCACUGGAUCUUUAUUUCCUGGUUCUUUAAAUAAAGACAAACGGCUUCAGCGUGACAAAACACAAUUAGGUGUAACAGGAAGAUUAGCAGCCUGGAGGUAAAACAGCCAUCUUAUGACGGCCACAUGUUUAGCAGAGAAGAGAGAGAGAUGGAAC